rnacentral:rRNA from 1 species
UACGUAGGUGGCGAGCGUUGUCCGGAUUUACUGGGCGUAAAGAGCGCGCAGGCGGUCGUGCAAGUCGCGUGUGAAAGCCCCCGGCUCAACUGGGGAGGGUCACUCGAUACUGAUCGACUUGAAGGCAGGAGAGGGAAGCGGAAUUCCCGGUGUAGUGGUGAAAUGCGUAGAUAUCGGGAGGAACACCAGUGGCGAAGGCGGCUUCCUGGCCUGUUCUUGACGCUGAGGCGCGAAAGCUAGGGGAGCAAACGGG